CAGUUGGUAGAGCGGAGGACUGUAG
rnacentral:piRNA from 4 species